AGAGUUGAUCAUGGCUCAGGAUGAACGCUGGCGGCGUGCCUAAUACAUGCAAGUCGUACGGAGCGCUCAGCUUGCUGGAGAGCUCAGUGGCGAACGGGUGAGUAAUACGUAAGUAACCUGCCUGCAAGGACUGGGAUAACACCUGGAAACGGGCGCUAAUACCGGAUAGGUAACAGAGGGGCAUCCCACUGUUAUUAAAGGUUAAAAACACAAGCAGAUGGGCUUACGGUGCAUUAGCUGGUUGGUGAGGUAACGGCCCACCAAGGCGAUGAUGCAUAGCCGGCCUGAGAGGGUGAACGGCCACAUUGGGACUGAGACACGGCCCAGACUCCUACGGGAGGCAGCAGUAGGGAAUUUUCGGCAAUGGGCGCAAGCCUGACCGAGCAACGCCGCGUGAGUGAAGAAGAAUUUCGGUUCGUAAAGCUCUGUUGUAAGGGAAGAAUAACACGGAGAGAAUCCGUGCAUGACGGUACCUUACCAGAAAGCCACGGCUAACUACGUGCCAGCCGCAGC
rnacentral:rRNA from 1 species